rnacentral:lncRNA from 1 species
CACAACUGUCACAUAAGCCUUAAGAGGUUUAUCACUAUCAGUACUUCCAGUUCCACUUGUAAACCAAUCUGUUAAACGUGUAGUGUUAUUUCCUACUCCACUAUUAUUGUUUCUUUGUGAGGACAUCUUCAAAAAAAAAAAAUAUAUAUAAAAUUAGCCUACCUGAGCACCGGAACGCAAAGCAGCAUGAAGAAUGGAGUAGAUACAGUACAAAAGUAUGAAUAAAAUAUAAACUAUUAGCUAGUACAAGUAGAAUAAAAUAUAAACUAUUAGUUAGU